ACAACUUGUCCCACAACCAUCGAUAAAUCUGGACGACAUACAUAAAGAGGAUAUGAGAGGACGAGCAGACUGGGAUUGAAAUGGUCACUUGCGUGACGAUUCUGAGUAUAUGCAGUGGUACAUAAGUCAUACAAUUCGUUAUUUAGCUCCAAUUGAAGAUGACUAAUCGGACGAAGAGCAGUAUGACUUGGAUCAACAACAACAUUUUCAAGCACCGUCUACAUAUCGUUCAUCACUACCAUACGACGUCCCACAAAGGUCUUCCUUUGACCACCUGCAAUAUCCAUAUCCAACUCAGUAUCCUCAAGGUGGACACUCUUAUGGUUAUUAUUCACCAUCAACACCACACAGUGCAGGUCCAUCAACAUU